UACGUAGGUGGCAAGCGUUGUCCGGAAUUACUGGGUGUAAAGGGCGUGUAGGCGGGUUGUCAAGUCAGAUGUGAAAUUCCGUGGCUCAACUGCGGAGCUGCAUCUGAAACUGAUGAUCUUGAGUACUGGAGAGGGAAGCGGAAUUCCUAGUGUAGCGGUGAAAUGCGUAGAUAUUAGGAGGAACACCAGUGGCGAAGGCGGCUUUCUGGACAGUAACUGACGCUGAGGCGCGAAAGCGUGGGGAGCGAACAGGAUUAGAUACCCUGGUAGUCCACGCCGUAAACGAUGGAUACUAGGUGUGAGGGGGAUUACCUCUUCGUGCCGCAGUUAACACAAUAAGUAUCCCACCUGGGGAGUACGGCCGCAAGGUUGAA
rnacentral:rRNA from 1 species